AUGGCGUCCAGCUCACCGUGUCCUCCUCCGUCGCCGCGGCUCGCCCACCUCCUCCUCGUCCUCGUCGCCGCGGUCGUCCUGCUUGGCCGCGGCGGAGAGGCACGGCAGCCGGCGCCGCUCCACGGCGUCGUGCGGUCCAUGGCAUUCGACGAGGGCUACACCCAACUCUUCGGCAGCGGCAACCUCGCCCUCCGCCGCGAUGGCAAGCGCGUCCACCUCGCCCUCGACGAGUCCACCGGCUCCGGGUUCGCCUCCCAGGACCUGUUCCUCCACGGCUUCUUCAGCGCCGCAGUGAAGCUCCCUGCCGACUAUGCCGCCGGUGUCGUCGUUGCAUUCUACCUGUCGAACGCCGACGCGUACGAGAAGACCCACGACGAGCUGGACUUCGAGUUCCUGGGCAACGUGCGCGGGCGCGAGUGGCGGGUGCAGACCAACGUGUACGGCAACGGCAGCACCGGCGCCGGCCGGGAGGAGCGCUACGACCUCCCCUUCGACCCCACGGACGACUUCCACCACUACUCCAUCCUCUGGACCCAACACCGCAUCAUAUUCUACGUGGAUGAGACCCCGAUCAGGGAGGUGGUGAGGAGGGAGGCCAUGGGCGCGGCGUUCCCCUCCAAGCCCAUGUCCCUCUACGCCACCAUCUGGGACGGCUCCGCCUGGGCCACCCUCGGUGGCCGCUACAGGGUCAACUACAAGUACGCGCCAUUCGUCGCCGAGUUCGGCGACCUCGUCCUCCAGGGCUGCCCCGUCAACCCCAUCGACCACGCCGCGGCGGCGGCCUGCGGCACGCCCUGGUACGAGCCCGCCGCCGCCUCCUUGUCGGCCGGGCAGCAGGCGUCGAUGUCUGCUUUCAGGCGUGGGCACAUGUCCUACUCCUACUGCCACGACCGCCGCCGGUACCCGGUCGCUCUGUCAGAGUGUGACGCCGCCGCGCUCCCGCGCUUGUUCGGCCCGGACGGGAUGAAGUACGGCGGCGACCGCCGGCACCGCCGCGGAGGGCGCGGCCACCGCUCCGACGUCGUCAUGUGA
rnacentral:rRNA from 1 species